GACGAACGCUGGCGGCGUGCCUAAUACAUGCAAGUCGAACGCUGAAGGAGGAGCUUGCUUCUCUGGAUGAGUUGCGAACGGGUGAGUAACGCGUAGGUAACCUGCCUGGUAGCGGGGGAUAACUAUUGGAAACGAUAGCUAAUACCGCAUAAUAUUGACUAUUGCAUGAUAGUCAGUUGAAAGGUGCAACUGCACCACUACCAGAUGGACCUGCGUUGUAUUAGCUAGUUGGUGGGGUAACGGCUCACCAAGGCGACGAUACAUAGCCGACCUGAGAGGGGGAGCGGCCACACUGGGACUGAGACACGGCCCAGACUCCUACGGGAGGCAGCAGUAGGGAAUCUUCGGCAAGGGACGGAAGUCUGACCGAGAAACGCCGCGUGAGUGAAGAAGGUUUUCGGAUCGUAAAGCUCUGUUGUAAGAGAAGAACGAGGGUGAGAGUGGAAAGCUCACACUGUGACGGUAUCUGACCAGAAAGGGACGGCUAACUACGUG
rnacentral:rRNA from 1 species